CUACCCUCUCCUGUUCCAAAAGCCUGUCUGGUCAGAAUGGUGUGAUGAGCCCUCCUCUUCAGCUAGGAAAAUGACGGUGUUCAGAAAGUUAAAACUUCUUCGCUGGAAGGAUUUCAUCUUAAAGUUGUUUUAGGCUGUUCUUCAGUGUCUUUGUUUGAACGUUAUAUAAUUGAUGAUCCCAAAGCUUUCUACAUAUUGGCAGGAAUUGUUUUUGACCACAGCGUCAAUGACAGCAAUGGAUCUUUGCCACUUGCGGUUAAGUAUCAAUUGCGCUUCAGUUACUUUCAGAAGAAUUUUAUACUGGGGAAGAAUAUAUUUUUUCAAGAUG
ensembl:lncRNA ABCA17P ATP binding cassette subfamily A member 17, pseudogene